rnacentral:rRNA from 1 species
CAAGGAAUUUUCCACAAUGGGCGCAAGCCUGAUGGAGCAACGCCGCGUGCAGGAUGACGGCUUUCGGGUUGUAAACUGCUUUUUGGGGGGAAGAAGAUGACGGUACCCCCAGAAUAAGCCUCGGCUAACUCUGUGCCAGCAGCCGCGGUAAGACAGAGGAGGCAAGCGUUGUCCGGACUUACUGGGCGUAAAGCGUCCGCAGGUGGUCGUGCAAGUGCCGUGUGAAAGCGCUCGGCUUAACUGAGCGAGGCCAGGGCAGACUGCGCGACUGGAGGCCGGGAGAGGUCGGUGGAAUUGCCGGUGUAGUGGUGAAAUGCGUAGAGAUCGGCAGGAACACCCAAGGGGAAGCCAGCUGACUGGCCCGGUCCUGACACUCAGGGACGACAGCGUGGGGAGCGAACCGG